CGCCACCUCACAGAGGUGCGCUUGCAGCGGGUGCCGGGGGUGGGCUGCGUGUCUGAGCGCCAGCGGGUGGUCCAGGGAGGUGACCAGGAGGCGGUUGGAGAGCCCGGACCCGGAGGCUUCCCCCCCCGGGGCGGGGGGGAUGAGCAGGGCGGCCAACAGCGCGGCCAGCUGACACAGCGGCGGCAUGAGACUGUGACGGCGGAGUGGUGGGGUGGGUGGGUGGCAGGCGUGUAAGUGCGUAUGUAUGUUGUUACAGGGUGGUUAACUUCGCCAGCGGCCCCCUUUCCCGGGGCAGUCCCUGCUCUCCCCUGCUAGAGGGGCACCCUAAUCCGUCACCCCAUCCGACUUCAGAAUGUAUUCGUUGGGUUCGGCAACUCACCACCAGCAUUCAACCAAAUCUAGCGGAUCAACGGCGCAUCAACUUAGUUCCUGGUCAGCUCGCAAGUUGAUAUUAUCACGUCCUACACCGUCCAUAAGAUGGGGGGCCACCUCCCAUUUCAUCACUCCUCAAUCACCCGAGGAGCUGGCAGGCGGAUUUGAACCCGGGUCGACUGGAUCGACUGGGAGCAGAAGUCAGGCCUUAACUUCUGCCAGCCGCCUGCGUAUGUAUGUCUGCGCGUGCGUAUGUAUGUAUGUAUGUAUGUAUGUAUGAAUGUGUGUCUCACUAGUGGGCAAACCCCUGGAAAGGCGAGCUGGGGGGCACAUCUGCAUGUUUGGAUGGGUGUGGGUGUGGGGGUGUGAGGCGGCAGCGGCAGCGGUAGCAGUUAUGAUAUGUACAGCACGCAAAGCUCGCACGGGCGCGUAAGGCCCAGGCAAGCCAGAGAAGCCGCGAAGCUAAGCGAGAGAGACAGAAAAGGUUAACAGUAGCAGUAGCAGUAGCAGUGCUGCCUGUUGGAGACGUACGGUGCCUCUUACGUCAUGUAUUUAGCUGAAGGGAAUGUGAAUGCCUGUACGGAGUCAGUGUAAGUUGUUCUGAUGUACGUGAAACUGUACAGGUUACACGGAAGGCUUAAUCAUACUUUAGAGGCCGGAAAUCCAGGUUCACGAGGGAGGUUACCACGAUACGAGGCUACCCGCCAAAAAGCACCGACCCACCGACCCACCGACCCACCGACCCACCGGGCCGCCCGCGUUGCCGAGAGCAAGUACCAGACGGUGUGUACGGCGAGACAGACACGUGGGGCAGCGCUAUGCGCUGCAGGGUCUGUGCUACCGCCGCCGCCGCCGCUGCCGCCACCGCUGUCGUGCGUUGCCAACACAGUGC
rnacentral:lncRNA from 1 species